GUGCUUGUGCACCGAACUGCUUUCCUCCCGUUUGAUCAGUGAUUUGCUCCACGUUCUGACGUUGGGUGCAAAGCGGGGAGUUCCUGUGUUGCCUACCUAUCGAGAUGGAAAUCGGUUGCCUUCGUUGUGCCUUUCGUCCGCUCGGACGUUCGGAUGGACUGGACGGAAGCGCUUGUGUUUCCACGAACGUGUCGCAAGAUCGUUUCGAUGGACCACGAUCGCCUUCUCGUUCUCUCGGAUGCGGAAAGUCCCUAAUGGGCGUGGGUCAUCGGCCUUUGGUCCCGAAUCUGUAAGCGAUCGUCGCUCUACUACAUGGGAAUGACGCUCUCGCCUCGACUUCGACCACGCGGAGCUCCCGGGCUCCCUCGAUGGAUCGUGCGGGGCGGACGUCGGGAAGGAAUGC
rnacentral:misc_RNA from 1 species